rnacentral:rRNA from 1 species
UACGUAGGGGGCAAGCGUUGUCCGGAAUUAUUGGGCGUAAAGAGCUCGUAGGCGGUCUGUCGCGUCGGCUGUGAAAUCCCGAGGCUCAACCUCGGGUCUGCAGUCGAUACGGGCAAACUAGAGUAUUGCAGGGGAGACUGGAAUUCCUGGUGUAGCGGUGAAAUGCGCAGAUAUCAGGAGGAACACCGAUGGCGAAGGCAGCUCGCUGGGACGGUACUGACGCUGAGGCGCGAAAGCGUGGGGAGCGAACAGG